CUGCAUGUUAAAAAACGCAAUUCUGCUCCUCAUUCCCAUGAGGAACAUGAAUAUAUGUAACAUGCUACAGAAAACAAGGAGUUUUCAGGGCUGCCAGUCUUGCAGUAAAGACUGAGUGGUAGUAUAGGUCUCCUACAUCU
rnacentral:snoRNA from 1 species